rnacentral:lncRNA from 1 species
GGUAGGAGAUUGGAUCAUGCCGAUAGAUUUGCUAGCUUUGCGCAAGCUGGGGGAUUUUGACGUGGUCUUGGGCAUGGAUUGGUUGACUAAAUAUUAUGCCACGAUUGAUUGCAAGAAUCGCGCUGUUACUUUUAGAGAACCGGGGCAGGCUGAGGUGGUAUUUAGUGGAUGCCAGAGUUCGCUGUUUGCGAUGACGAUCAGUCGAGCUAGGCAGCUGAUUAGUAGAGGUUGUAUAGCCUAUUUGGCUAGUGUUGUACUGAGGGGCGAGGAU